AACGCAUAUUGCGGUCGAGGCUUCGGCCGAGACCAUGUCUGCCUCAGCGUCGGUGUGACCCCCACAUCCCCCUCCUCUGGGAGGUUGGGAUGGAUCUGGCCUCCCCACAGCUCGUUCUGUGGGUUGGCCGAAAUUCAGAGGCAUGCGCCUGGACCUGUAUGGCACCAGCAAGGUAGGUAGCUCCGACUACUCCAGCUGAUGCUUUGGGGACUUGUGCGGGCCCGCAGGAAACACCACUCUUUCGACCUGAGAUCAGGCAAGGCUACCCGCUGAACUUAA
rnacentral:misc_RNA from 1 species